rnacentral:rRNA from 1 species
GACGAACGCUGGCGGCGUGCUUAACACAUGCAAGUCGAACGGAAGGGCCCUGCUUUUGUGGGGUGCUCGAGUGGCGAACGGGUGAGUAACACGUGAGUAACCUGCCCUUGACUUUGGGAUAACUUCAGGAAACUGGGGCUAAUACCGGAUAGGAGCUCCUGCUGCAUGGUGGGGGUUGGAAAGUUUCGGCGGGUGGGGAUGGACUCGCGGCUUAUCAUCUUGUUGGUGGGGUAGUGGCUUACCAAGGCUUUGACGGGUAGCCGGCCUGAGAGGGUGACCGGCCACAUUGGGACUGAGAUACGGCCCAGACUCCUACGGGAGGCAGCAGUGGGGAAUAUUGCACAAUGGGCGGAAGGCUGAUGCAGCAACGCCGCGUGCGGGAUGACGGCCUUCGGGUUGUAAACCGCUUUCGCCUGUGACGAAGCGUGAGUGACGGUAAUGGGUAAAGAAGCACCGGCUAACUACGUG